rnacentral:tRNA from 1 species
GCGGAAGUGGCGGAACUGGCAGACGCGCUAGACUAAGGAUCUAGUGGGGUAAAACUCGUGGAGGUUCGAGUCCUCUCUUCCGCA